CACCGGCACCCCGAGUGGUAGCCACUAUUAUUGGGCCUAAAGCAUCCGUAGCCGGCUCUGUAAGUUUUCGGUUAAAUCCAUGUGCUCAACACAUGGGCUGCCGAAAAUACUGCAUAGCUAGGGAGUGGGAGAGGUAGACGGUACUCAGUAGGAAGGGGUAAAAUCCUUUGAUCUAUUGAUGACCACCUGUGGCGAAGGCGGUCUACCAGAACACGUUCGACGGUGAGGGAUGAAAGCUGGGGGAGCAAACCGG
rnacentral:rRNA from 1 species